AGAGUUUGAUCCUGGCUCAGAUUGAACGCUGGCGGCAGGCCUAACACAUGCAAGUCGAGCGGUAGCACAAGAGAGCUUGCUCUCUGGGUGACGAGCGGCGGACGGGUGAGUAAUGUCUGGGAAACUGCCUGAUGGCGGGGGAUAACUAGUGGAAACGGUAGCUAAUACCGCAUAACGUCGCAAGACCAAAGUGGGGGACCUUCGGGCCUCACGCCAUCAGAUGUGCCCAGGUGGGAUUAGCUGGUAGGUGGGGUAACGGCUCACCUAGGCGACGAUCCCCAGCUGGUCUGAGAGGAUGACCAGCCACACUGGAACUGAGACACGGUCCAGACUCCUACGGGAGGCAGCAGUGGGGAAUAUUGCACAAUGGGCGCAAGCCUGAUGCAGCCAUGCCGCGUGUGUGAAGAAGGCCUUCGGGUUGUAAAGCACUUUCGGCGAGGAGGAAGGGUAAUGUGUUAAUAAGACAUUGC
rnacentral:rRNA from 1 species